CAGAGCGGAGCCGCAGGGGGCCGCUGCAGGAAGGGUCUUCUAGGGGCCGUAGUGCCCCGCCCCAGUGCGGCCGCGGCGCGGGUUCCAGCUGCUGCUCGGCAGGCCUGGGUGUCUGGGGCAUGAGCGGGGUGUGGGGGGCCGGCGGGCCUCGGUGCCAGGAGGCGCUCGCAGUUCUCGCCUCGCUGUGCCGGGCCCGGCCGCCCCCUCUCGGGCUGGACGUGGAGACUUGUCGGAGCUUCGAGCUGCAGCCCCCAGAGCGGAGUCCCAGUGCGGCAGGCGCAGGCACCUCUGUCAGCCUUCUCGCAGUUGUAGUUAUUGUGUGUGGUGUGGCCCUGGUGGCAGUUUUUCUCUUUCUCUUUUGGAAGCUGUGCUGGAUGCCCUGGAGGAACAAGGAGGCCUCCAGUCCCUCUCCCGCUAAUCCCCCCUUGGAAGCCCUCCAGAGCCCCAGCUUCAGAGGCAACAUGGCGGACAAGCUGAAGGACCCCAGCACCCUGGGCUUCCUGGAGGCGGCUGUGAAGAUCAGCCACACAUCCCCAGAUAUCCCAGCUGAGGUGCAGAUGUCGGUCAAGGAGCACAUCAUGCGUCACACGCGGCUGCAGCGGCAAACCACAGAGCCAGCAUCAUCCACCAGGCACACAUCCUUCAAGCGCCACCUGCCAAGGCAGAUGCAUGUCUCCAGUGUAGACUAUGGUAAUGAGCUUCCGCCAGCCGCAGAGCAGCCCACUAGCAUCGGCCGCAUCAAACCCGAGCUCUACAAGCAGAAGUCGGUGGAUGGGGACGAUGCCAAGUCUGAGGCCACGAAGAGCUGCGGGAAGAUCAACUUCAGCCUUCGCUACGAUUAUGAGACCGAGACCCUGAUUGUGCGUAUCCUGAAGGCUUUUGACCUCCCUGCCAAGGACUUCUGUGGGAGCUCUGACCCUUACGUCAAGAUCUACCUCCUGCCUGACCGCAAAUGCAAGCUGCAGACCCGGGUGCACCGCAAGACCCUGAACCCCACCUUCGAUGAGAACUUCCACUUCCCCGUGCCCUACGAGGAGCUGGCUGACCGCAAACUGCAUCUCAGUGUCUUUGACUUCGACCGCUUCUCCCGCCAUGACAUGAUUGGCGAGGUCAUCCUGGACAACCUCUUUGAGGCCUCUGACCUGUCUCGGGAAACCUCCAUCUGGAAGGACAUCCAAUACGCCACAAGUGAAAGCGUGGACUUGGGAGAGAUCAUGUUCUCCCUCUGCUACCUGCCCACAGCAGGCAGGCUCACCCUCACGGUGAUUAAGUGUCGGAACCUCAAGGCGAUGGACAUCACAGGCUAUUCAGAUCCCUAUGUCAAAGUGUCCCUGCUUUGUGAUGGGCGGAGGCUGAAGAAAAAGAAAACAACCAUAAAGAAAAACACUCUCAAUCCUGUCUACAAUGAGGCCAUCAUCUUUGACAUUCCCCCGGAAAACAUGGAUCAAGUCAGCCUGCUCAUCUCAGUCAUGGACUAUGACCGAGUGGGCCACAAUGAGAUCAUAGGAGUCUGUCGUGUGGGGAUCAAUGCCGAAGGCCUGGGCAGGGACCACUGGAAUGAGAUGCUGGCAUACCCCCGGAAGCCCAUCGCACACUGGCACUCCUUGGUGGAGGUAAAGAAAUCCUUCAAAGAGGGAAAACCUCGGUUGUGAUUUCAUUCACGUGGAUGCUGCAAGCAGAGAGACUGCCACCUGGAGUUAGGAUGGCAGGGCCGAGCUGCCAGCUUCGACAGUGAGAGCUCGUGCCCAUCUCCGAAACCGCCUCCGUCCCCAUGAGCUGCGCGGCCGAGUAACCCCAGCGGGACUCAGCAGUGCUCUCUUUGCACUUGUCCAACCGUCUAAACAGUGUCGUGCAGUCGCGGUGGCGGCGGUGGCCGUCGUCACUCCAGAGCCUUACCUGCUCCUGUGUAGGGCAAGGCCGAGACACUUGUCAUGUGGUCAGAUCUGUCUUAGUCUUUUCUGUCUCCCAAGGUGAUGUUUUUGUGGUUUUUCACUUUUUAUGGGUCUGCUGUUAAGAAAAAAAAAAAAAAAAAAAAAAGAGUAGGAAAAGACAAAGGGCGGAAAGCCCAGAAGUUGGUUCUAGAAAAUACAAUGUAUAGUCUUUUGGAAAGAGGUGGAUUGAGUUUCUGAAAUGCUGUGUCUCCAGCAAGCUCCACAGCCCUGGAAAAGGAGGAGGCGUGGUGGGACUGCGGCCGGAUUUUCAGUGCCCUGCAGGAAUGAGAUGAAUUUAUGGAAGGGCCUUUGUAGGGCGAAUUACUAGCCUUUGAAGCCGUUUGCUGGUGGGAUGUAAAUUGUAUUGGGACCCUCAGUCCUGUGUUGAAAUCACAAGACCUCUGAGGCGCCUGUGAGCCUUCGGUUGAUGUGCAGGGUUCCUCGCUCGCCCUCCUCGUUGGCUUUCCUCAAGAGUCGAAAACGUCUGGAUUCCUCAUGGGACCUUAGUCACUUUCUUUAGGAAUGAUUCCGCUGAAACUAAACACGCCAUAUGUUUUCUGAUGCACCACAGUUAACGAUCAUAUUUGUUUCAAAACAGGAUCUUUGUUCUCAGAAUAACCUUCAUUGUAAAGUAAGAGAGAUACAUAUGUUCUGGAAUGAUUUCUGCAUUAUACAUAGCUUUAUAAUUCCACGAAGUAUCAAGCCGCUGUUUAAAAUGCCUAAACAGAUUACAGAAAAAAACCUAGAUUAAAUGUUCUUUUCCAAAUGGGGAGUUUUGAAAUCCAACAGUUUGAGUCCGGCUUUCUAUGAAGAGUGUCUUUUUAUUUGAAACCAAGUCAGCGUAAGCCUCUUUCAGCCCCUUUGGCUCUGGGACAAUAUUCAUCUUAAACUUUAGUUCUAUAAAUUGCUAAGUACUUCCGUGUUGUUUGUUUCAGUGGUUGUGAGGGUUUCUUGUUUCCUUUAGAUCUCUACCUUAGGCCAAACUCAGUUUAGGAAAAAAUAAUUAUUUGAACUAUCCUGUGUUGUAGUAGCACAUUUCUGUUCAGUUAAUAGUGGCCUUCCCCCAACCCCUAAAACCAGGAUGAUGUGCUCAAUCUCAGUUUGUAUAACCCGAGUAAGCGCAUGGAGGUGAUAUUCUACCUGACUUGUGACUACGCAGUGCUAGUUUCCAGAGCUGUGUGUAAUACUUGCAAGAGGCAAGUCUGCUGGGGAACCCCUUCUUUUCACAGUGGAAAGUCAAGAACAGAAAAUCUGUUCACACACCUGUGUCUUAUUCUUUAUAUAUGUUACAUGCUAAAGGGGCAGCAACCAAUAAAGUGGUCCUCAUUUUAAACCAAGGUGUCAGAUUUUUCUGCUGAUCUAACCCUGCAUAGUAUCUUCUAGCCCUAAAAAUGACCAGGUUGGGCAUGAGCUAACAGGAUAUUGUGACAAAAAGAGUUUUCUGCUUAGAAAAGUAAAUGUAGAUAAACCUAAGCUCUGCUCCGCACUGAGCCUUGGGCUAGGGACUCAUGGGCAAAGAUGACUUUUCUCCCCAAAUAUCCUGUGAUCGGCAGGCCUUCCUAGUUCAGCAGUCCUGCAUUUGGAGGUUCUCCUGAGAGUGAGAA